rnacentral:piRNA from 1 species
UGAAAUGUUGGUUCACAAAAA